ACGGCCCAGGCGGGACGGAGUUUGUGUGCAGCCUGGUCGUCCAAUGGGAGUGCGGUGCGAGUCCGGAGGCGAGGCCAGGCUGUCCGGGAAGUGAGCUGGCCAAGGAGCGUGGAGGGCGGGAUUACUUUUUUCCCUGAAGCCCUGCCUGUUAAUCUAGCUCCAGCCAAUGAAUGAGGACAGGAGCGGAACGAAGGCGGAGCACUUGGACCCCGCCCAGACCCGCAGGCCCGGAUCGCACCCGCGGUUUCUGCUGGGUGGAUGAACUCUGGCCCGGGUCUGGGUUUGGAGGCGCUUUACCUCUCCGCCUGACCCAGCUCUACCCCCUGAGAGCUGCAGGGCGGAAGAUCUCCGAGCAGAUUGUCCUUGACCUCUUCUCAGACCCCGAGACAGGCUCCAGGCUUCCGCUGGAGCGCUUGGGCGAGGCGCAGCCCUAACCCUGCCCGCCGCUCCCACCUCUGUUCUCCUAGCCUGCUAAGGGCUGCCAGGCGGGGACCACUGGAGCCUCCUGUACUGAGGACCAGCGAUACGCGGGACGCCCAUUCCGCUGUACCCUCAUGUCUAACAAGGGGCUGAUCAUUAUCUUCAGGAGAGUGGGAAUGUUUGCCACUCUUCCGAGCCGCCGUCACAGGGGACAAACUGGUGAUGUAAGGCAAGCAGAGACACAAGAAAAAGGAAUCAGCUGCCUACAGCUCAAGGGGACUGAUGGUUCCUGAAUGGAAAGAAACAAAGGUCAAGGAGGAUGGCACCGGACACUGGAGAGAGACCCAAACUGGCCGAGGGUUCGGGAGGUCUGGUCCAAUGGACUGCUGACAGGCAGGAAGCCAUAUGUUGUUGAGAAAUGAUGUGAGAACUGUGUAAAGGGUAUAAACCUCCAUAUGAAAACUAAAGACGGCAA